rnacentral:rRNA from 1 species
GAUGAACGCUGGCGGCGUGCCUAAUACAUGCAAGUCGAGCGAACAGAUGAGGAGCUUGCUCCUCUGACGUUAGCGGCGGACGGGUGAGUAACACGUGGAUAACCUACCUAUAAGACUGGGAUAACUUCGGGAAACCGGAGCUAAUACCGGAUAUUAUAUUGAACCGCAUGGUUCAUUAGUGAAAGACGGUUUUGCUGUCACUUAUAGAUGGAUCCGCGCCGCAUUAGCUAGUUGGUAAGGUAACGGCUUACCAAGGCAACGAUGCGUAGCCGACCUGAGAGGGUGAUCGGCCACACUGGAACUGAGACACGGUCCAGACUCCUACGGGAGGCAGCAGUAGGGAAUCUUCCGCAAUGGGCGAAAGCCUGACGGAGCAACGCCGCGUGAGUGAUGAAGGUCUUCGGAUCGUAAAACUCUGUUAUUAGGGAAGAACAAAUGUGUAAGUAACUAUGCACGUCUUGACGGUACCUAAUCAGAAAGCCACGGCUAACUACGUG